UGCCCCACUUGCCAGAGGAGAAACAGGCUCCAAAGGCCGGGUGACUUGCCCAGGGUCACUCACCUCCCUCGCUCCCAAGGGCAGCCAGGAGCCCUCCCCGCCCAGACUCACCCUUCCCAGUGCCCUGUUUUCCGCCUCUCUGCAGCCCCUCGGGUAGUGACGCCAGCAGUGUCACCCGGCAGCCCCUCCGGUUAAGGGCACAAAGAACUGCCCGCUGCAGGGGCCCGAGGGUCUGGUGGUGGCGAGGCGGGGUUGGGGCGGAGGUGGGGCGGGGGAGCGGCCUCCCGCUGGCUGUGUUUUGCUCUGGGAGGAAUCCCCCACGGAGCCAGAGCCUCCGUCCUGUUCCAGGGCUGCCCCAUGAAUUAAACAUGCCCCCGUGGUUAACUCAGUAAUGCUUUUAUUAAUAGUUAAUUACUCAAGGCGCGCUGGGGAAAUGAGCCUCACUCCGGCCUCGUAAAUUAAGGCAGUGAUCUCGUGAAAAAAGCCAAUGGGAGUUCAUUACCCCCAACUCCCCACCCCAGCAUCCCACCUCCCGGCUCACCAUUUAGCGGCGCUAAACCAUCUGGGAGGGAGGUGGGGCGCGGACGUGAUUAGGGUACCGGGACUUUUUCAGGGUGGAGGUGGGAAGAGGCGGAGGAAUAUUGUGCGGUUUCCUCCGAGAGAAGGGGCCCCUGCGGGUUGUGGCCAAGUGGCAGCGGGGGCGGUACUUCCAGCCUCGUGGCGGCGCUCUUUCGGCCUGUGUGCCUCGUCACAGCUGGGGACUCAGCGCGGCCCCCGAGGGGCUCCUGGCGGGGCAGGGCCGCCUGUCCUGGGUGCGGGAGCGGGACUCCCAGGCAGAAAGGAGCGGGCGUCGGGCGCUCCCGCCCCAGAGCCUCGGGCCUCCCUCCCCCGCUCGGCCUUUCUCAUUUCACCAGCGUCAAGCUUGCCCGGCUAGGUUUUUGUUGUGGCUGAAGCCAAUUUCCCGUCCUGAUUUUGCUGCUGAGCUGGAUAAGGGGCUUGUUCUAACCUGGUUUGGCUUUUCUAAAUUUAACUUUCUCCCAUGUUUUGCUUCCCUGGAGACAGAAGCCCCUCUGUCUAUUUUCCUGGGACGUGAAAGCCAGCACCUGCUUUGAACCUACUGUGUGCCAGGACCUGCCCCCCUGGUUUAUGUUGAGUGUUCUUUCAGCUGUCACCUUGGACCAGUAACUGCACCACGCUGGAUCUCCAGUCCUUCAUCUGAAACCAGAGAUGAUCCCAGAUGGUCCCUGUAUCUGGGGUUCCUGCGAUGAUUAAAUGAAGUUCUCAGAACACUGCUGAACACCUGGUGUUGGAGACGCUCGUUCCAGUCCUGGGCAUCAGACGGCUCCGAGCCUCACUCUCCCCAGCUGCAGAACGGGGUGAUUUCGGCUUCUCCCACGGGGCUGCUGUGGGGCUCCAGUUAGACCACCACCACCGUGCCCGGCCAUGUGACUCAUAGCGCCGUCUGAAGGAUUCUUCAUCCUGGGCGACUCGGAAUCACCAUGCCUCCUGGGUUUGCUCUUCUUGCUACAAAAGGCUCCCCAGGCCUUCGCCCCAGCUCUGGAGACGCUCCUCAGCCUGGUUCAUUUGGAGCGAGCCCGGCCCCUCUGUGUUGGGAAACAGGGGUCCCUUCCAGCCUCCGGCCCUGGGCAGAGGGAGGAGGAGGCCUCGGGAUGCAGAGGCAGGAGGGCGUGGAUUAGAAACCCAUCACAGAAAUGACUUUCUUAUCACGCUACGACCUGAAUUGACAGAACCAACUCUCGAAAUUGAAUUGUCUCCCCCCUCGGCUGCCUCAGCUCCUAGUUCCUUCCCCACUGCCACCUCCACCUCUGAAAGCCCUGCUGGGAGAGACCAAGAGACAGAGAUGCAGGAGAGAAGCAAAGAUGACUCAACUGAGGCACAGAGGCGUUCAGGAACCUACUCAGCAUCUGGACAGUACCCACGAUGAACAUUCCAGGCCUCUGCAGGUCCAGAGUGGAAGGUGCAGAAGUGAGAGGGCCGAGCUCCACCGGUUCGUGAUCCGUAGUGACCCUGGAACGAGGUUCUUUACCUGAGUCACCUCAUCUCGUCUUCUGGACAGCCCAUAAGCCAGC